UACGUAGGGUGCAAGCGUUGUCCGGAAUCAUUGGGCGUAAAGAGCUUGUAGGUGGCUCGUCGCGUCGGGAGUGAAAACCCGCGGCUUAACCGCGGGCCUGCUUUCGAUACGGGCGGGCUAGAGUUCGGCAGGGGAGACUGGAAUUCCUGGUGUAGCGGUGGAAUGCGCAGAUAUCAGGAGGAACACCGGUGGCGAAGGCGGGUCUCUGGGCCGAUACUGACACUGAGAAGCGAAAGCGUGGGGAGCGAACAGG
rnacentral:rRNA from 1 species